CCUACGGGAGGCUGCAGUCGAGAAUUUUUCACAAUGGGCGCAAGCCUGAUGGAGCGACGCCGCGUGGGGGAUGAAGGGUUUCGAUCCGUAAACCCCUGUCAUUUGCGAACUUGUAGUGGAAGAGGAAGGGACGGCUAACUCUGUGCCAGCAGCCGCGGUAAUACAGAGGUCCCAAGCGUUGUUCGGAUUCACUGGGCGUAAAGGGUGCGUAGGUGGCCAGGUAAGUUCGGUGUGAAAGCUCGGAGCUUAACUCCGAAAUGGCAUUGAAUACUAUCUGGCUGGAGGGUCGGAGGGGAGACUGGAAUUCUCGGUGUAGCAGUGAAAUGCGUAGAUAUCGAGAGGAACACCAGUGGCGAAGGCGAGUCUCUGGACGACCCUGACACUGAGGCACGAAAGCCAGGGGAGCAAACAGGAUUAGAUACCCUUGUAGUC
rnacentral:rRNA from 1 species